CUACCGCAACUUUAACAAAGUCUCUAUACAUUUGCUGGAUGGUCAUAUACGGGGUAUCAUCGUAUAGAGGGUCAAAGAUAGUGACUGCCCAUUCAGGCACCGAGAAUACAAACAGGAUAAAAUGCUUGGUCUCUUGAGUACACACUGGCAUGAAUAUAUACGUGCAUUCGUGUAAUGUCGGGACCACAUCUGGGUGGACAUAAGGGUGACAAAAAUUCUCUACCCCAUUCGCCUGGCUUGAGGAUACAACGCUCUUGCCAAGAUGCAUGAAGAAUGAUUCCAUGAAGCCAAAUGUUGCCCACCUUCGAAUUCCCUGCGUCCUGUAGUACUCCUCUCUAUCCCGCAAUAAUAAAAUAUACGCGUCCAACGAAUGCUCAAAAAUCCAAGAUGCAGGGCUUAAGGCUUGGAAUGCGUUGUGAUGUAUACAAGUUAUGCGGAUGUAUGGCUAGAAAUAUUGGUGGAUUCGAAAGUUGGUUCCCAAACAAGUAAUUAUUUAUAAACUCUAUCUUGU
rnacentral:lncRNA from 1 species